rnacentral:rRNA from 1 species
GACGUAGGUGGCGAACGUUAUCCGGAAUUAUUGGGCGUAAAGGGUGCGUAGGUGGCCUGACAAGUUAUCAGUGGCAAAUCGAAGCUCAACCUCGUGGAAACUGGUAAUACUGUUCGGCUUGAGUACAGGAGAGGUUAACGGAACUCUAUGUGGAGCGGUAAAAUGCACAGAUAUAUAGAAGAACAUCAAUAAAGGCGAAGGCAGUUAACUAUUCUGUUACUGACGCUGAGGCACGAAAGCGUGGGGAGCAAAACGG